rnacentral:lncRNA from 10 species
GGAAGGCUCGUUCUCGCGAGAGUUCAGCUCCCUUCUUAGCCGUGGCUGCCUCAGCACCUCGAGGAUCGACAUGGACGCUCUCGAGGACUACGUUUGGCCGCGGGCAACCUCGGAGCUUAUACUCCUCCCAGUGACGGGUCUGGAGUGCGUGGGGGACCGGCUGUUGGCGGGCUGGAGUGCAGUGGCACGGUCUCGGCUCCCUGCAACCUCCGCCUCCCAGGUUCAAGUGAUUCUCCUGCCUCAGCCUCCGGAGUAGCUGGGAUUACAGCCUGCCUGAUUGGAGACGCCUGGAAGGAGCUGACCAUAGUGGCAGGUGCUGUUUCCAACCAGCUCUUGGUCUGGUACCCAGCAACUGCCUUAGCAGACAACAAACCUGUAGCACCUGACCGACGAAUCAGUGGGCAUGUGGGCAUCAUCUUCAGCAUGUCAUACCUGGAAAGCAAGGGAUUGCUGGCUACAGCUUCAGAAGACCGAAGCGUUCGUAUCUGGAAGGUGGGCGACCUGCGAGUGCCUGGGGGUCGGGUGCAGAAUAUUGGGCACUGCUUUGGGCACAGCGCCCGUGUGUGGCAGGUCAAGCUUCUAGAGAAUUACCUUAUCAGUGCAGGAGAGG